rnacentral:tRNA from 1 species
GCCUGGGUGGCUCAGUGGGUUGAGCGUCCGGCUUCAGCUCAGGUCAUGAUCUCACAGUCCGUGGGUUCGAGCCCCGUGUCAGGCU